rnacentral:tRNA from 1 species
GCCUGCUUAGCUCAAUGGACAGAGCCCUGGUCUCCUAAACCGGGAGUGUGCGGGUUCAAAUCCCGCCGCAGGCACCC